rnacentral:rRNA from 1 species
CCUACGGGUGGCAGCAGUGGGGAAUAUUGGGCAAUGGGCGCAAGCCUGACCCAGCAACGCCGCGUGAAGGAAGAAGGCUUUCGGGUUGUAAACUUCUUUUGUCAGGGACGAAGCAAGUGACGGUACCGGACGAAUAAGCCACGGCUAACUACGUGCCAGCAGCCGCGGUAAUACGUAGGUGACAAGCGUUAUCCGGAUUUAUUGGGUGUAAAGGGCGGGUAGGCGGGAAUGCAAGUCAGAUGUGAAAACUAUGGGCUCAACCCAUAGCCUGCAUUUGAAACGGUAUUUCUUGAGUGCUGGAGAGGCAAUCGGAAUUCCGUGUGUAGCGGUGAAAUGCGUAGAUAUACGGCGGAACACCAGUGGCGACGGCGGAUUGCUGGACAGUACCUGACGCUGUGGCGCGAAAGCGUGGGGAGCAAACAGGAUUAGAUACCCGAGUAGUC